rnacentral:rRNA from 1 species
AUUGAACGCUGGCGGAAUGCUUUACACAUGCAAGUCGAACGGCAGCACGGGGGCAACCCUGGUGGCGAGUGGCGAACGGGUGAGUAAUACAUCGGAACGUGCCCGGUCGUGGGGGAUAACGUAGCGAAAGUUACGCUAAUACCGCAUACGAUCUGAGGAUGAAAGCGGGGGACCUUCGGGCCUCGCGCGAUCGGAGCGGCCGAUGUCAGAUUAGGUAGUUGGUGGGGUAAAGGCCUACCAAGCCGACGAUCUGUAGCUGGUCUGAGAGGACGACCAGCCACACUGGGACUGAGACACGGCCCAGACUCCCACGGGAGGCAGCAGUGGGGAAUUUUGGACAAUGGGCGCAAGCCUGAUCCAGCCAUUCCGCGUGCAGGACGAAGGCCUUCGGGUUGUAAACUGCUUUUGUAUGGAACGAAAAGGCUCUGGCUAAUACCUGGGGCUCAUGACGGUACCGUAAGAAUAAGCACCGGCUAACUACGUG